AAAAAUAGGAAGGUACUUAAAUCUUUUAAUGUUAAUUUUGUCUUUUUUGUAAAAAAAACUUCUUCUUACUUUGUACAGCCAUAAAUAAAGAAAAAAUAUCAAAAAAUAUAAAAAUCUUUAGAAAAAAAUUAAAUAUAGUUUAUAACAAAAAUUAUUCUAAAAAGUCAAUAAUCGAUAUCUGGAAAGGAUUGAAUAUGAAUCAAGAUUAAAAUUAGAUCCCAACACAAAAAAUCAUAGUCUUAUAGUGAUUUUAGGAAUCUUUUGAUGAUUGA
rnacentral:lncRNA from 1 species